rfam:Sphingobacterium sp. Ag1 JX05_contig_33, whole genome shotgun sequence.
GGAAAGGUGUCAGAGUGGUCGAAUGAGCAGUCCUGGAAAGACUGUAUACGGGAUGACUGUAUCGAGGGUUCGAAUCCCUCCCUUUCCG